rnacentral:piRNA from 1 species
UGGCUGGUGCUGGGAGUCGAUGGAACAG